UUUCCCACUAGACACAUUAGGAGUGUGCGUGUCAGGGAACACGUGAGGCAUAGACGAGUAUGGGACAAACAUUAAAAUGCAUUGUGGGUUACACAGAAUGUUGCAGGCUACUUGUGUGGAAAAUGGGAGAGGAGCACCAAAAUACCUCCAUAUUCACUCUAUAAAGUGAAUAUCUGGAAUAAAAAAUCUUCCAAAGGUUUGAAAACAUCUAUGUAAUUCAACCGCUCACAAACUCUGCCUUGUGAAAACAAAAAGUAUCUUCACACCCCAACCCUGGGCUACAUUAUAAAAAAGAGCCUCCAAAAGAAGUUUCCUACAGAGGCCUCAACCCUAACUCAGCUGUGAAAGACUGCUUUCCUCCGAGUGAUUCUCCAUCCAGUGUACAAAGUGUAGAAGACAGCAGGAUAUGAAGAGAAUCUUCUCUCCAGCAAAGAUAAACAACUUCCUGGUAGUCAGCCAGCCUUUGAUUCGUCAAUCUCUCAGCGCUCAAAUGAACAGUAAAGUACACAUUCCUAAACUAACUUUUAGUAAUAGACUUGGAAUAUCAUAAUAAACCUUCCAGAAGUUACUAACGUCCCUUAUGUACUAGAAUCCUGUCAUACAACUGGUUGCUCCAUCAAGUGUCGCUGAGGCCACACUGCCUCUGAGAUGAGUCACAGUCAGUGAAGGAAGGAAAAGCCUGCAUUCUCCAUCACAAGAUCCAUGCAGUCAAGCUGCUUCCGGGCUGGGUCCUCUGUGAUCUGUGUGCACCCUCUCCAGGCUCCCACUCAACUGCAGGAGGAGGGCUGCUCCCUGCCAGGCUGUGCUGGAUGCCAGGAAAGAACGCCAGGGUGACAGGUCUGCUCUCCAGCUAUGACCACUGUAAGGAUAGACUUGUCCCAUAUCCUCCUCAGGCUUCGGUCUCUAGCACAGCUGCCUGCUGAACACUUUCAACUAGAUUCUGUGAUGACACUUCAACUCAGUAUGUUUGAAAUCAGGCACGUCAUUAUUUCCUCCCACUGCCCUCUCCUUGGCCAGAGUAACCCUAUUUUCUCAGCCAUCCAAGCUCAAGAACGUGCAGUUAUCUUUGGCUCCAAUCUCUCCAUUCAACCCCCUGCCACCUUUCCCACCUUCCUAGCCUAGGAUCUUCUCAUCUUAUGCCAAGGUUCCUGCUUCCAAUGGUCACAUAACACAUGUCUCUCAUCUGUGGCCUCUCACCAUGCUAAGUCUUUCUCCAUAAAAAAAGAUCCAACCUUCCAGGUUCACAUUCUCACUUCUUGGAAGCCUUCAUGAGCUGCCCUCUACUCAAGGAUAAGGAGUAAACUCUUGGUUCUGACAUUCAAGGCCAUCUGAAACAGCACCUACCAUUCCAGGCAUACCAGCCUCCACACAGGAUGGAUCCUCUACUCUGAUCAGUUAGCCUGAGGGACUCACUGUCCCCCGGGGGUCAUGAGAGUGAGUUCCCUCCAGAUAGGUCAUCUAUACUCAAGUCUGUCCCCUGCCAUUCAUUCAGUGGGAACAUAUGCUCCUUCUGUUGGGGCUUCCCUUUCUUGUUUUUAAGGGUGGAUAGCAACCUGUAUUAUCGCCUCCUGAAAUCCACAUUGUGGCUCCUUUCUUACAUCCUUUCCAUCGGGAACCCCUUUCCCUCAUUAGCCUUCACCUGUUGCAAAUAACCCUCAAAGGUGUGGCUCAUGUGCAACUUCCUUCAUGUGCUUUGGCGAACAUACAUUUGACUCCCUCUACCUCAUAUUUACCAAUCUCACUACAUACACGCUAUUCAGCAUUAGUUACCUUCUCAGGCUGUUCUCGACCAGAUCAUACAUUUCCUGAGCACAAAAGCUUUGUCAUAAACAGUAUGAGACCCUCCCUCAACUUGCAAAUGGGCGAUAAACAUCUAUUGCUUGUUAUUCUGAGUUCAGCACUACUUCACACAAAAUUACUUCUUUUUUUUUCUCCAAAGACUGUUGCAAUGAUAUACAAAAAGGUAGGGGGGAGGGGAAGAGAAACCUAAACCAUCAUCAGGACACCUAUCAUUGCCCAGUAGUCGCUUAUGUCAUAAAAUCCGCAAAAAAGAAUUUUGCUUAGUUAAAUCGGGGGAAAAUGUUCAGAUGGGGAAAUGUCAAACCAAUUCUGAUCACAGCUGGUCAGGCAGUUCAUUCAAAGAAGCAGAAAGAGAAGCCUCAGCCCGAAAAACCUCUCAAAGCAGCACUCCAGCAUGACUUAUCUCCCAUCCCUGACAGGGGGUAUGGAUUGAAGAUACAACCAGGUUACCAAGUCACCUACUAAACUCUCACCACAGCUCCUCCAUGAGAGGUACUUAAUGGACAUUUGCCGAGUUAGCAAAUAGAUGAAGGAAUCAUGGAUGGAAAAAAUUCUGAUAGGAAACUAUGUAGAGUGAUUCUCAGUCUUCUAAAAGAAUGUAACUUUAGGAUUGCCUUCUUUUGAUCUUAUUUUUUUCAAAAAAAAUAUUUAUUCCUUGUCAGAGAUAGAAAGCCAGACUGAGGAGACCACUAAUGUGAUCUAAUCCUUUCUUCUACUUUUACAUGUCAUUGCUCAGAUUUCAACUGUGAGGUAAGUUACAUCAGGUCAGUACACAAGGAAAAAGACACCUACUUUGGAACCUAUAUUUUAAAAAUGUUAGUUCACUUAGAAGACCUACACUACAACAUUAAUGUUCUAGUGUUGUUUCACAUAAUUGUUUAUAUGCCAACAAGGCAGUUAAGUUUUAUCUCUUCAAAUUUAAUUGAAACCCAGAGGACAGUCUCUGUAGAGGAAUAGAGAACAUUAAUGAGUAAAGCAUCUGAUACUUACACUCCCUUUAGACUUUCUGGAUCCUACAAUAGGAGGUAGUGAAGAAGCUUUCUGACUGCGGAAACAAAUAGCAAUUUAGAAAUCUGAAUAUUAUUUACAAAUAAUACACAAUGCAAGACAACUGUCACCCCAACUUGUCAUCCCAACCUGCAAGUCAACUGCUUAAGGGACAUGGGUUUUUCAAGAAAGUACCAUAUACUUUCCCAAUUUCACCAAGACCACCAUAAAAUUGUUAAAUUCCAUCCCAAAAGAUUUGUAAUUUUAACAUUAAGCUAUUUUAAUCAAUGCUCCCUCUAAACUUUUAGUACCACCUUCAAUUUUUCUGCAGCAGUUUUAUUCAACUCCCUAAACUUUCUACAUGCAUUUCAAAAAGUCCUUUCCUAAGCUGAGUGGUGAUUUUGCCAAACAAUACAUUUCCAAACAAUACAUUUCCAUUGUUUUCAUAAUGUCCACAGAAGCUCAGAAUGGCAAAACACUAGCAUUUAUAUUCAGGGACACUCCUAGAUUGGUCAUUCUCAACAAAAAAUAAAAGUUUUCUUUGGUUAUAGAAAUACUGCUUCACAGAUGUUAGGAGGAAACUUAUCUUGGAACUCCCUGAUCUCCUCUGAAAAGAAGGCCAUAUGUAGAUGAAGGAUGUCUUACUAAUUUGUCUGAGAGAGGCUACCAUGAGCUACAGACUUCUCACUGCCCUCAAGAACACACUGUAGCCCACAGCAAGUGAAUCCAGUGUCACUGGACUUCAUUUCAUGGGUGGCUAAGGAUGGUCAUCAGUAAGUCUGCUGGUUGACAAACUUACUGCAUUCUGUGCAAGAGCCCUCAGCCAAGACAGUGCAUCCAAACAUACACAGGACGGGGUCAGAUAACAAGAGGCCAAGGAGCUCAUUGCUAGGAUUAAUGAUGCAGAACUGCAUAGCAUUCAUGCUUCUUCCUUUUUGCUUUAUUUAUUUAUUUUUUCGCUCCCCUCAUCUUCCCAGAAUCAAGGGAUUUCACAAGGACCUCCCUUUACUGUAAAACUGCUACACUGAAUAUGUUACUUAUUAAAAGAACAGUGAUAACUUUACUAGACGAUUUAGAGUCCACGGAAUUUUUUUUUAAGGAACAAGAAAAAGCAGACUAUCAGAAAACCACAUGAGAAAGGCAAUGCGUCAUUUUGAGGGUUAUAAACAAGAGUUUGUGAC